AUGGAACAGGAGGCAACGCUAUUCAGAGAUAACCACCAAGGCAGAAUGUUGGCGUGUGGAAGUACCUCUACUCAGAGUGAUAGAGAAAACUAUGGCUCUGCUUUUACUGAAGGAAUGGCUACCGGAGCGGGCAGCUUUAUGAAUAUAAGGUGAAAAGGAUGUAUGGAGAAGUUUUGGGAGAGUCAGAC